AUGCGUCAGGAUUUGGGUCAGGCUAGUGUCAGGCUAGUCAUCCAUAUACGGUCUGCGAUACAUCUAGGCGUACAUGUUUGGCCCCAGCCAGCUUUCACGUUCCUCUGCUUAUCCUCGUUCGAAUCAGCACAUCAAAGAGAAUCUCGUGCUGCCAUAUCCUGUGGAAGAAGCCCCAUCCACGGAACAACUUUGCCUCUCCGCCCCUCCCUCUCUCCCCUAGGCAGGCGGCGGCGCCCGUGUUCCUCUGCUCAGCUUCGGUACAUUCAACGCGAUUUGCCCUUUCUCUUUCCCGUCCCCCCAAACUCGGCGGCGGCACAUCUCCUCUCCGGCGCCAUAUCUGCCGGUGGCAUCGAGCGCUACGGGCGGGGCGGCAGGUUAAUUCGAUGCAACCCAUGGCUGUGGUGCCUCGGGUGGAGUCGCAAGCUUCGAUGAGAGUCGCAGAUGGCCAGAAUUGUUGUUUGUUUUGGUCAGUAGUGCGUUAUUGUUUGUUCCUAGUUCCGGGAAUUCCGCUAAAUAAGUAACUCUGCUGACAUUUUGUGAAGAACACCGCAUGAAGUGUGUUCAUGCCUUUCGUGCGACUGAACCAUAAGCAAAGUUUACCCAAUUUUCUCGUAAUUAAUAUGUUCAUUUCGGUAGAUAACUAAGCUGUCUGGAGAAAUAAAUAAUCCCCUUUGCCAAGUUCUUAUAAAUUAAAUUAGCUGUAAAUGGUAAAAUUUUCAGCAAGUGCGCCUGCAUUGGCCAGGUUUUGGACAAUUAGCUGAUUACCUUUUGAUUGCCAUGUUAUAUCUCAUGCUACAACAAAUGUGUUUUAGUUUUUGCUUCUGUUGUACUACUAUGGCAUAUGACCCAGUCAGACACAAUAUAAUUUAUGUUAAUGUGUUUUCCUUCAAUAUCUGUACCUAACUGAACAAACACUGCAUAAAUUGUCACCCACAAGCUGCAGUCCGAAUUGGAAAGAAAGAUGUCUUCUGGGUAGUUGGUUUCUGAACUUAUUUUUCAACCAAAAUGCUGCAGUACCAAUUAGAAUUCUAUGCUUAGGUUAUUAAGAUAUUCAGUGUGGCACCUUUCACUGAUUUGGCAGCUUGUACUUUUUGGAUCAUAUAAAUUCAAUUCGGUUCAAUUUUUUUCCAGCAGCCGUGCGUGCUAGCUUGCUGUUUGAUUAACCAGUUACUUAGUAGAGGUCAACUGGGCUAUAGAAUUCUGCACUCCAUAGUAUAGGAUAAUUGUCAUGGAUGCAUCUAUUCUGAAGUUAGUGAUCAGUAAUUAAGAUAGCAUCUCCAUAUUUUGCAGGCCCGGUUUUGUCGCUUUAUUUUUCAAUUAGUUCACUAGGACACACAUGCGUUCCACAAAGAUACUACAAUGUAACCUCUCCAUAUUUUCCAACCAGUCCCUUUGUGAUAUGCUAAUUUUCCCCCUGUUUUUAUGUUCUACCAUUAGUCUGCUAAGUAGGAGACAUGUUGACCGGUAAUGUUCAGGAAUUAUGAAACUGUUCAGGUAUAGCGCCUGCGAAGGACUGACGUACUGCAGGUCGACAUACUUCAAGAGAAUAAGCAAAAGUCUAGGUUCUGCACCAUACGUCGAGGUCAGGGACACAAGAUUACCACAUGCAUGUGCUGAACAAGGCUCCGAGGAAAUUGCCAAAGUGUUCGAAGUGUGUAGUGCUUGGUCACAGGAAGAAUGUGUGACUUACCGAUCAAUUUGAGCCGAACUUCCUUUAGCCCCGCUUUAUCAAAUGUAGCAAGAGUGUUUUGAAAUUCAGUUUCUCUACAUUUCAGUUCAUAAUUUUGUUCAUGUUCACCGGGUCAUUGGUGUGAUGACCGUUUGGGACUUAAUGAGAUAUUUUAUUCGAAUUGUCGGGACAUUUAGUUGAUA